GUGCCAGCCGCCGCGGUAAUACGGAGGGGGUUAGCGUUGUUCGGAAUUACUGGGUGUAAAGCGCGCGUAGGCGGACAUUUAAGUCAGGGGUGAAAUCCCGGGGCUCAACCCCGGAACUGCCCUUGAUACUGGGUGUCUUGAGUUCGAGAGAGGUGAGUGGAAUUCCGAGUGUAGAGGUGAAAUUCGUAGAUAUUCGGAGGAACACCAGUGGCGAAGGCGGCUCACUGGCUCGAUACUGACGCUGAGGUGCGAAAGUGUGGGGAGCAAACAGGAUUAGAUACCCCGGUAGUCC
rnacentral:rRNA from 1 species